CCUACGGGGGGCUGCAGUGGGGAAUAUUGGACGAUGGGGGGAACCCUGAUCCAGCCAUGCCGCGUGUGUGAAGAAGGCCCUCGGGUUGUAAAGCACUUUCAGUGAGGAAGAACGCCUGGUGGUUAAUACCCAUCAGGAAAGACAUCACUCACAGAAGAAGCACCGGCUAACUCCGUGCCAGCAGCCGCGGUAAUACGGAGGGUGCGAGCGUUAAUCGGAAUUACUGGGCGUAAAGCGCGCGUAGGUGGCUUGAUAAGCCGGUUGUGAAAGCCCCGGGCUCAACCUGGGAACGGCAUCCGGAACUGUCAAGCUAGAGUGCAGGAGAGGAAGGUAGAAUUCCCGGUGUAGCGGUGAAAUGCGUAGAGAGCGGGAGGAAUACCAGUGGCGAAGGCGGCCUUCUGGACUGACACUGACACUGAGGUGCGAAAGCGUGGGUAGCAAACAGGAUUAGAUACCCCGGUAGUC
rnacentral:rRNA from 1 species